AUAAAGGAAGUUAGGCUGAGGGGCAGAGAGCGAGACUUUUCUAUUUUCCAAAAGCUCGGUCUGAGGCCCCUCAGUCUUGCUUCCUACCCCGCGC
rnacentral:pre_miRNA from 4 species